GACGAACGCUGGCGGCGUGCUUAACACAUGCAAGUCGAACGGAAAGGCCCUGCUUUUGUGGGGUGCUCGAGUGGCGAACGGGUGAGUAACACGUGAGUAACCUGCCCUUGACUUUGGGAUAACUUCAGGAAACUGGGGCUCAUACCGGAUAGGAGCUCCUGCUGCAUGGUGGGGGUUGGAAAGUUUCGGCGGUUGGGGAUGGACCCGCGGCUUAUCAGCUUGUUGGUGGGGUAGUGGCUUACCAAGGCUUUGACGGGUAGCCGGCCUGAGAGGGUGACCGGCCACAUUGGGACUGAGAUACGGCCCAGACUCCUACGGGAGGCAGCAGUGGGGAAUAUUGCACAAUGGGCGGAAGCCUGAUGCAGCAACGCCGCGUGCGGGAUGACGGCCUUCGGGUUGUAAACCGCUUUCGCCUGUGACGAAGCGUGAGUGACGGUAAUGGGUAAAGAAGCACCGGCUAACUACGUG
rnacentral:rRNA from 1 species